GAUGAACGCUGGCGGCGUGCCUAAUACAUGCAAGUCGAGCGAACAGACGAGGAGCUUGCUCCUCUGACGUUAGCGGCGGACGGGUGAGUAACACGUGGAUAACCUACCUAUAAGACUGGGAUAACUUCGGGAAACCGGAGCUAAUACCGGAUAAUAUAUUGAACCGCAUGGUUCAAUAGUGAAAGACGGUUUUGCUGUCACUUAUAGAUGGAUCCGCGCCGCAUUAGCUAGUUGGUAAGGUAACGGCUUACCAAGGCAACGAUGCGUAGCCGACCUGAGAGGGUGGUCGGCCACACUGGAACUGAGACACCGUCCAGACUCCUAAGGGAGGCAGCAGUAGGGAAUCUUCCGCAAUGGGCGAAAGCUUGACGGAGCAACGCCGCGUGAGUGAUGAAGGUCUUCGGAUCGUAAAACUCUGUUAUUAGGGAAGAACAAAUGUGUAAGUAACUAUGCACGUCUUGACGGUACCUAAUCAGAAAGCCACGGCUAACUACGUG
rnacentral:rRNA from 1 species